rnacentral:misc_RNA from 1 species
GCUAAAAGCUGUUAAUAUUUAUCAGUUAAUACCGCGGUUGCGAGUACUGUUAUAGAUAUGUUUGAGAUAUAUCGCACGCUGCUGUCAACGGAGAAGUGAACUUUGCGAAUGCACACAGUGGAAUGGAACGCAUAAAAUUCUGCCGUUAAAGAAAAGGUGAACUACGCAUGCGUGGGUUUCGACCAAGAUAUUAUUUUACGAAUAUUUUUCCGUGAGAAGUAACUACAUCGAAUUUCCUUCAACAUUAUAUUGUCCACUUACUUCUUCUUCUAGGGAGUAGGUGACAAAUUAUGAGUGUAUCGAUCGCAUUAUGUGCUAUCCUAUAUCUCUGUCUAUUUUAUUAAACAAUUUGCGUGGCAAUUGCUUUACUUUAGUAAAGAAAACUGAUACAAUUAUAUAUAUAUAAUGUUAUAUGAUUAUAUAAUUCGCAAGUGCUUCUAUGCGAGAUGAGGUUCCAUGAACCGUCACAAAAUAUUGUGCAGUCAAACGUAACUCGUUAACUUAAGGAUCGCUUUGUAAAAUGAGUACCUCUGUCCAAGAACGGUAUUUCAGCUUGAAUAGAAUUAUAUUACUCGCUGUUGGCUUAUGGCCUUAUCAACAAUCAAAGAUUGCUCGAUUUCAGACAGCAUUAUUGCUUAGUAUUUUGAUAAGCAUCAUCACAUUAAUGCUUUCAAGACUUUGUUUUGUAGAAUACUCCUUUGAAUUUACUAUUAAUUUGCUUUGUGCGUCAACGUAUUUUACUUUUUUUCUGAUUAAAUAUCUCUCCUUUUGGAUUAACAUAGAAACUAUAAGAUAUUUAUUGGAUAACUUUCAAUACAUCUACAAGAGGCUAAAGGAUUCAAAAGAAAUUGCUAUCUAUAACAAAUAUGGCAAUAUUGCAAAACGUAUAACAGUCGGCUUCAUAAUAGUUGCAAUAUGCAAUCAAGCUUGUGUUACUGCAGUACAAUGUGCGCCAUACAUUUUUGAUGUGAUUAUGCACAAAAAUGAGACCUACGCGCGCCGCUUCAUAGUAGCUUUGACUACAUACUUCGCCAUACAAGAAAAAUAUUUCUAUUUAUUUCUUCUGCAUCUAAACACAGUUAUGGCUGUAGGAUCCCUUGCAUUAUUAGCGAUAGGAACAACGGUGUUAUCAUGUUUUAAACAUAUCUGUGGAUUGUUCAGAAUUGCUAGCUACCGAUUUGAACAAGCAAUAACGGCUACUACAUUACAAAGUAUUACCUUAAAAAAUAAAACCAUGAUUUACAAGGAGUUUAUCUAUGCCGUGGACAUUCAUCGUAAAGCUAUACAGUUUGCCAAAUUUUUUGUGGGCGGCAUGGAACGAUCACUUUUCAUUGUUACAAUGAUUACUGUACUUUGUAUGAGUUUGAAUCUUUAUGGAAUAUUUCAAAUUGAAUCACCUAUGCAAGAAAUAGAAAAGACAGUGGGACAUUUUCAACUUAUCAUUUUUCUUCUUAUAUAUAUGUUUGUAGCUAACUAUGCUGGACAGGAAAUGACGGAUUAUAAUAAUCAUAUAUUUCUUACGGUAUACAAUGCUCCAUGGUACUUAGCACCAUUGCAGAUACAAAAGUUGACCUUGUUUUUAUUACAAAGAAGUAACAAAGCUUUCACAUUGAGUAUCGGUGGAUUAUUUACAUUAUCCAUAGAGUGCUUUGCUUCGCUAGUAAGUGCAUCAGUAUCUUACUUCACGCUUAUGCUAUCUUUGUAAUAAUAACGAAUAUAUAACAUCCAAUAAUACCGUAUAUUAGAAUAGGGUAAAUAGAUAUAAAACUAGAUGAAAAUGCCGAUAUUUUCUUCCCAUUGACCUUAAAAACUUAGGAAAAUGGUACAAUUAGAUAAGUUGCAAAACCAAAUCUGAAGUGUUUCUGAUAUUUAAACGUAUAAAAGUUAUCAUUCGAAUAAAAUGUGCGGAUAAGAAGGAAUGAUAUGAUAAUGGGAAAUAUUACGUGCGUGAAAUAUUAUAGUAAUUUAAAUAUUAAGUAUGUUAAUAAAUUAUUUGGAGAAGUAAAUUAAAUAUUAAAUAUUCAGUAAUCGUGCCUGUGAGGUAUUGUAAAUCUAGAAGGAAAUAUAUGGUAUUAAAACAA